rnacentral:rRNA from 1 species
AUUGAACGCUGGCGGCAUGCCUUACACAUGCAAGUCGAACGGCAGCACGGGAGCAAUCCUGGUGGCGAGUGGCGAACGGGUGAGUAAUAUAUCGGAACGUGCCCAGUCGUGGGGAUAACGUAGCGAAGCUACGCUAAUACCGCAUACGAUCUAUGGAUGAAAGCGGGGGAUCGCAAGACCUCGCGCGAUUGGAGCGGCCGAUAUCAGAUUAGGUAGUUGGUGAGGUAAAGGCUCACCAAGCCGACGAUCUGUAGCUGGUCUGAGAGGACGACCAGCCANACUGGGACUGAGACACGGCCCAGACUCCUACGGGAGGCAGCAGUGGGAAUAUUGGACAAUGGCGAAGCUGAUCAGCCAUGCCGCGUGUGUGAAGAAGGUCUU